CACCGACCGAAAGCCCUGCCUAUGAUCUCGUGAGGUCCUCGGGAGACAUCUAGGUAGAAACCAUGACACUUUGGAAGGGAGGUUUUGUUCCACACCGUGCUGACUUUAUCAUAAGGCAAGAGGCCAAGGUAGCCUCCUACCCAAUGGCGCAGCAGCUCAUCUACAUGGAGGGGGGCAGUCAUGUGUGUCACCUAGAGUGAGAAUCAAAUGAAACAGAACCUGCCAAGAGCUUCCUGGUGCCUCAUCAAGUUGUCAGUGGAUAUGUCUUCUUAUCAACUUUGCUAUUGUUAUUACUUUUAUUGUUUAGAAACAGAUCCUGGGAGAAGUCGAUUAGUAUAACCAUGAUUGAGAGUUGAAGACGUGGUUCUGCAGAAUUGGUGAAAAUUAACAUUGCAGUAGAUGAAAACAGUAAGAUCAAUAACUUCAGGACUACUGAAAUGCCUACUCUAGAGCAAUAACUAAACUACUAUUGUUUGAUGCAAAUUAAACAUUGUAUGCAUAA